rnacentral:rRNA from 1 species
UAAGGAAUAUUGGUCAAUGGACGCAAGUCUGAACCAGCCAUGCCGCGUGAAGGAUGAAGGUCCUCUGGAUUGUAAACUUCUUUUAUCUGGGACGAAAACGGGAUUUUUAUCUCAAUUGACGGUACCAGAGGAAUAAGCACCGGCUAACUCCGUGCCAGCAGCCGCGGUAAUUCGGAGGGUGCGAGCGUUAUCCGGAUUUACUGGGUUUAAAGGGUGCGUAGGUGGGCUUAUAAGUCAGUGGUGAAAUCUCCGAGCUUAACUUGGAAACUGCCGUUGAUACUAUAGGUCUUGAAUUAUCUGGAGGUAAGCGGAAUAUGUCAUGUAGCGGUGAAAUGCUUAGAUAUGACAUAGAACACCAAUUGCGAAGGCAGCUUACUACAUAUAAAUUGACGCUGAGGCACGAAAGCGUGGGGAUCAAACA